AGAGUUUGAUUAUGGCUCAGGAUGAACGCUGGCGGCGUGCUUAACACAUGCAAGUCGAACGGAGCUUAGAAGGAAGCUUGCUUUCAUUUAAGCUUAGUGGCGGACGGGUGAGUAACGCGUGAGUAACCUGCCCUUGAGAGGGGAAUAACAUCGAGAAAUCGGUGCUAAUACCGCAUAAUGUCGGAGUACCGCAUGACAUUCCGACCAAAGAUUUUAUCGCUCAAGGAUGGACUCGCGUCCGAUUAGGCUGGUUGGUGAGGUAACGGCCCACCAAGGCUUCGAUCGGUAGCCGAACUGAGAGGUUGAUCGGCCACAUUGGGACUGAGACACGGCCCAGACUCCUACGGGAGGCAGCAGUGGGGAAUAUUGGGCAAUGGGCGCAAAAGCCUGACCCAGCAACGCCGCGUGAAGGAUGAAGGUCUUCGGAUUGUAAACUUCUUUGAUUGGGGAAGAAUAAAUGACCUACCCGAAGAACAAGCCACGGCUAACUACGUGCCAGCCGCGGC
rnacentral:rRNA from 1 species